GACGAACGCUGGCGGCGCGCUUAACACAUGCAAGUCGAACGGAAAGGCCCUGCUUUUGUGGGGUGCUCGAGUGGCGAGCGGGUGAGUAACACGUGAGUAACCUGCCCUUGACUUUGGGAUAACUUCAGGAAACUGGGGCUAAUACCGGAUAGGAGCUCCUGCUGCAUGGUGGGGGUUGGAAAGUUUCGGCGGUUGGGGAUGGACUCGCGGCUUAUCAGCUUGUUGGUGGGGUAGUGGCUUACCAAGGCUUUGACGGGUAGCCGGCCUGAGAGGGUGACCGGCCACAUUGGGACUGAGAUACGGCCCAGACUCCUACGGGAGGCAGCAGUGGGGAAUAUUGCACAAUGGGCGGAAGCCUGAUGCAGCAACGCCGCGUGCGGGAUGACGGCCUUCGGGUUGUAAACCGCUUUCGCCUGUGACGAAGCGUGAGUGACGGUAAUGGGUAAAGAAGCACCGGCUAACUACGUG
rnacentral:rRNA from 1 species